AAGUCGUAACAAGGUUUCCGUAGGUGAACCUGCGGAAGGAUCAUUAUUGAAAUAAACCUGAUGAGUUGCUGCUGGUUCUCCAGGGAGCAUGUGCACACUUGUCAUCUUUAUAUCUCCACCUGUGCACCUUUUGUAGACCUGGAUAUCUCUCUGAAUGCUUAGUCGUUCAGGAUUGAGGAUUGAUAUUAUGUCUCUCCUUACAUUUCCAGGCCUAUGUUUCUUCAUAUACCCCAAUGUAUGUCAUAGAAUGUAAUUAAUGGCCUUUGUGCCUAUAAACCUAUACAACUUUCAGCAACGGAUCUCUUGGCUCUC
rnacentral:misc_RNA from 1 species